UACGGAGGGGGCUAGCGUUGUUCGGAAUUACUGGGCGUAAAGCGCACGUAGGCGGCUUUGCAAGUUAGAGGUGAAAGCCCGGGGCUCAACUCCGGAAUUGCCUUUAAAACUGCAUCGCUAGAAUUGUGGAGAGGUAAGUGGAAUUCCGAGUGUAGAGGUGAAAUUCGUAGAUAUUGGGAAGAACACCGGUGGCGAAGGCGGCUCACUGGCUCGUUUCUGACGCUCAGGCGCGACAGCGUGGGGAUCAAACAGG
rnacentral:rRNA from 1 species